AUACAAAACAUCAACAGCACUCCUAACAAGAAUGUACAGUCAAAAACUCCCACUCAAAACUCUAUACAAAGAUAGCCUCAGAGUCGUAACAUUGAAGAUAAAUCUAUGCUACCUUUCCAAAAAGCCUAGCUUAUAUAUAUAUACAUGCGCACACACAACUACAAACUAAAUAAUCUAGGAAGAGAAUUAUCCUAUUAUCACAUAUUAAUAUUUACAAACCUCUCCGAUACCACCACUCAUUUGCAAAGUGUUAUUGCAGAAAUUUUUCAUCCCCAGCAUUUACUGUUCUGCACCAGCAGAGCAUCCAUGGGAGUACAGGUAAUUCCCAAGACAUUAACAAGCCCAUAACACAGGAAAGUCAGAAAAAACUUUUCAACAUCUCACUUCUUUUGGAGCUGAAAGGGUUCUGAGUUUUAUCGGCAACAAUAUUGCUGUAAGGACCAACAGAUUUUGCCUUCUCAGUGUUGAUAUCAUAUGAUGCAAGCAACUUUCUAUGAUCCUCAAACUCAGGACUUGUCAAGUUAAUAGAGAGGUUUCUCAUCAACAGCAAUACUGU
rnacentral:misc_RNA from 1 species